GGGUUGUGAGGUUAAGCGACUAAGCGUACACGGUGGAUGCCCUGGCAGUCAGAGGCGAUGAAGGACGUGCUAAUCUGCGAAAAGCGCCGGCGAGGUGAUAUGAACCUUUGACCCGGCGAUGUCCGAAUGGGGAAACCCAGUGCAAUCCGUUGCACUAUCGUUAACUGAAUACAUAGGUUAACGAGGCGAACCGGGGGAACUGAAACAUCUAAGUACCCCGAGGAAAAGAAAUCAACCGAGAUUCCCCCAGUAGCGGCGAGCGAACGGGGAGCAGCCCGGAGUCUGAAUCAGCUUGUGUGUUAGUGGAACGGUCUGGAAAGUCCGACGGUACAGGGUGAUAGUCCCGUACACGAAAGCACACAUGCUGUGAACUCGAAGAGUAGGGCGGGACACGUGGUAUCCUGUCUGAAUAUGGGGGGACCAUCCUCCAAGGCUAAAUACUCCUGACUGACCGAUAGUGAACCAGUACCGUGAGGGAAAGGCGAAAAGAACCCCGGCGAGGGGAGUGAAAAAGAACCUGAAACCGUGUACGUACAAGCAGUGGGAGCCUCUUUAUGGGGUGACUGCGUACCUUUUGUAUAAUGGGUCAGCGACUUAUAUUCUGUAGCAAGGUUAACCGUAUAGGGGAGCCGAAGGGAAACCGAGUCUUAACUGGGCGUUAAGUUGCAGGGUAUAGACCCGAAACCCGGUGAUCUAGCCAUGGGCAGGUUGAAGGUUGGGUAACACUAACUGGAGGACCGAACCGACUAAUGUUGAAAAAUUAGCGGAUGACCUGUGGCUGGGGGUGAAAGGCCAAUCAAACCGGGAGAUAGCUGGUUCUCCCCGAAAGCUAUUUAGGUAGCGCCUCGUGAACUCAUCUUCGGGGGUAGAGCACUGUUUCGGCUAGGGGGCCAUCCCGGCUUACCAACCCGAUGCAAACUACGAAUACCGAAGAAUGUUAUCACGGGAGACACACGGCGGGUGCUAACGUCCGUCGUGAAGAGGGAAACAACCCAGACCGCCAGCUAAGGUCCCAAAGUCAUGGUUAAGUGGGAAACGAUGUGGGAAGGCACAGACAGCCAGGAUGUUGGCUUAGAAGCAGCCAUCAUUUAAAGAAAGCGUAAUAGCUCACUGGUCGAGUCGGCCUGCGCGGAAGAUGUAACGGGGCUAAACCAUGCACCGAAGCUGCGGCAGCGACGCUUA
rnacentral:rRNA from 1 species